CAACAGGUAGUUUAUAAAAAUAUUAACUUUGGAAGUUAAAGAAAGUAAUUUAAUUUAUUUUUGUUGA
rnacentral:tRNA from 1 species